rnacentral:rRNA from 1 species
GCACAGCUUAAUUGAAACAGGACACAACCUACAUAAUGGGGUAAAUUACAAAUAAUCAUAACAAGUGGGCCUAAGGGCAGCCAUCUUUUAAAAAGCGUUAAAGCUUAAUUUUUCUACUAAUAAAAUACCACAAAUCCUAAUGAACCCCUACCUAAUACUGAAUGACCCCAUAAAUAUAUGGGAAACAUUAUGCUGAAACUAGUAACAAAGAAUUUAAUAUUCUCCAAAAUGCAAGCAUAAGCCAAAAUGGAUACUCCACUGGCUAUUAACGAAAAUGAAUAAAACACAGUAACACUACAAGAAAACUCUGGGUACUAACUCGUUAAUCUUACACUAGGGCAUUACUGGAAAGAUUAAAAGAGGAAGAAGGAACUCGGCAAAUUUCAAUCCCGCCUGUUUACCAAAAACAUCGCCUCUUGAAAACUAUAAGAGGUCCAGCCUGCCCAGUGACAAAGUUCAACGGCCACGGUACCCUAACCGUGCGAAGGUAGCAUAAUCACUUGUUCUUUAAAUAGGGACUUGUAUCAACGGCACCACGAGGGUUGCACUGUCUCCUUCCUCUAAUCAGUGAAACUGAUCUCCCCGUGAAGAAGCGGGGAUAGAACUAUAAGACGAGAAGACCCCAUGGAGCUUUAAACCGAUAGCAACUCAAUUACACACUUCCUUAUAGCUUCAAGAGCCGUGCAUGUAGGUUUUAGGUUGGGGUGACCGCGGAGUACAAAUCAACCUCCACGACGAAAAGAACUAAAUCUUUAUCCAAGAGCUACUGCUCUCAGAAUUAGCACACUAACGAAUAAUGAUCCGUUAAUCGAUCAACGAACCAAGUUACCCUGGGGAUAACAGCGCAAUCUACUUCAAGAGCCCAUAUCGACAAGUAGGCUUACGACCUCGAUGUUGGAUCAGGGUAUCCUAGUGGUGCAGCCGCUACUAACGGUUCGUUUGUUCAACGAUUAAAACCCUACGUGAC